GCACUGCUGACGAGUCCCAUACUAGGAUGAAAUGACCAUCCAGUGC
rfam:Schistosoma mattheei strain Denwood, Zambia genome assembly, scaffold: SMTD_contig0006681